CAAUAAAUAGUUUAAUAAAAAUAAAGGUUUUGGGAACUUUAGAUAUAAAUUUUUAUUUUAUUGA
rnacentral:tRNA from 1 species